rnacentral:lncRNA from 10 species
CUCUCGCUGUGCCUCACUCUCUGCUGCCUGGUUGUCUGUCUCUCCGUUUCCUUAUCAUUUUCUGUAUCGCUAGAUGCAACUGCAGCUCUGUAAGCAAAUCUGAGACGUGUUCACAUGUGGCAGCUGUGCAUGGGUGAGGGGGCCUUCAGGAAGGUAUGUGCCAGUGUGUACCCCAUGCAUGGAUGUGUGUCUGAGGGCCUCCAUGUGUGUGCAGUUGUGUGAGUGCAUAUGUGUGAUGGUUUGCAUGAGAACAUGGCAUCUAUACAUCAUGUGUAGAUACAUGUGUGUUUACGGAUGGAUGUGAAAGCAUGUAUGUGUGAGUGCAUGGUGAGGUGUAUGUGAACCUGUGAGCAGUGCUCCUCACCAUCACCCUCCUGUUACAAUCACUGUGGAGCAGGGGAGUGGAGGGGGAGUAGGCAGCUUCCUGCCCAGGCUCCUGCUCCAUCUGCCCUCUCUGUCACAGCCUGAGGAGCAGGAGCCUUGUUCUGGGCCCAGUGACCACUGUCAGCUGUUAACACGCACACAGGUCCCUCUGCCUGAACAAAACAGACAUGUCCAGUGGCAGGACUCAUCUGACAACACAGACCCACACCCCUCCCCACCCCAGAGGCUCAGAACAGUGUCCACUAGAGUUGGAAGUGGCUCUAAAUCUGCUACACACCUCCAGCCUCCAAUAACAAGUGGCCACCAGCAAAGGCAGGGAGGCAUCAGCGCCUGCCCACAGGGCCCUGUGUUGCCCUGCUCAGCUGGUACUCAGGCCUUGGAGAAAUGGCACUGGUACCCACUGACCCCAAACAAAGGUAUCUGCAGUGCCCAAAGCAGAAGAUAUAGUGGCUCAUACUUAAACCUGCCUGUGAGCCCUCUAGAGAGGCAGGUACAAUUGCGGAAGGAUGGAUGUAAUUGUUUGAAGAUGCUCAUAAUCCUUCGGCGGUAAUGGCAGGAAGCUUUAAAAUGAAGCCCUAAUCCGCUAAUAACCUGGCAGCCCCACAGCCUUCUUCCCUCCUGAUCUCCAGGAAGGGAGAAGGAACUCUAGCCACUCCCUUUCCCAAGGGAGCAGAAAGGCAAGUGUGGGCUCUGACCCAAGACCACCGGAUUUUGACUCUCCUGCAAGACCCAGCUUCCUUCCUGCCUCCAUCUCCAAGAAGUCUUCCCUGCCCAUUUCAUCCUUCUGAAGUCUUUUCUGCCCCCUCUGUCCCUAGAAAUAUUCUAGGACAGAACUGGAUGACAGACUGGCUGGACAGUAAAGAAAGGAAUGAGGCCUGGUGCGGUGGCUCACGCCUAUAAUCCCAGCACUUUGGGAGGCCGAGGCAGGCAGACCGCCUGAGGUUAGGAGUUCGAGGCCAGCCUGGCCAACAUGGUGAAAUCCCAUCUCUACUAAAAAUACAAAAAUUAGCUGGGCAUGGUGGCGGGCACCUGUAAUCCCAGCUACUUGGGAGGCUGAGGCAGGAGAAUUGCUUGAACCCGGUAGGCGGAGGUCGCAAUGAGCCGAGAUCAUGCCACUGCACUCCAGCCUGGGCGACAGAGCAAAAUA